UGUUUUUCCUCUCUCUCUCAUCGGGCCCUGGAACGCAUGAAAACCCUAGCCCUCGAUCCCAGAGGAUUCCCUUUCUCCCUUUCCCAAUCGCUCAAAUGCCCUAAUCAUUACCUGGUUCGCCCUCAAAUCUUCCCUCAUUUUCUCUCAAUCGUACCGGAGUACGAGAUCAACAUUCCUUCAGAAGAAUCCGAAUGGGGGAUCUGAACACGGCCACGCCCUCCGACCGGCCUUCCAUCACUGUGCGCUCCGUUUGGUCGCACAAUCUUGACUCUGAGUUCGCUAUAAUCCGAUCCAUAAUCGAUCAGUACCCCCUCGUUUCAAUGGAUACCGAGUUUCCCGGCGUCGUAGUUCGUCCCGACUCCGACGCCGCCCCGUACUUUCGCCACCGUCACCCGUCCACGCACUACCAGCUCCUUAAAGCUAACGUCGAUAUCUUGAAUUUGAUCCAAAUAGGGCUUUCUCUCUCGGAUGCUGCCGGCAAUCUCCCCGACCUUGGCUCCGACCAGCGUCACCAGUACAUCUGGGAGUUCAACUUUUCGGAUUUUGAUAUUUCGCGCGACUCUCACGAUCCGGACUCCAUCGUGUUGCUGAGUCAGCAGGGCAUCGAUUUUGAGAAGAACAGAGUGCAUGGCAUCGACUCGAUCCGAUUCGCUGAGUUGAUGAUGGCGUCCGGUCUCGUGUGCACCGACUCGGUGAGUUGGGUCAGUUUCCAUGGUGCUUACGAUUUUGGGUACUUGGUGAAGAUUCUCACGCGCCGUUUCUUACCUAGCGAGUUAGAUGGGUUUCUGACUCUUGUGAGGGUGUUCUUUGGCGCCCUGGUUUAUGAUGUGAAACAUCUGAUGAGGUUCUGUGCACACUUGUACGGUGGGUUAGACCGGGUGGGGAAAGACCUGGGCUUGGACAGGUUGGUGGGGAAGUGUCAUCAGGCCGGCUCAGAUAGCUUGUUAACGUUGCGUGUGUUCCAGAAGAUUAGAGAGCUUUACUUCUGUGGACCUGGGGUCGAGAAGUACGCUGGCGUUCUGUAUGGCUUAGAGAGAUUCUGUUUGUGUGCUUAUAAUGAGGGGGAUAAUAAUGGGCGGAAAGUACUAAAUUGUUAAAAUGAUCUGGUUUGCUGUUUGGGUCCUUCGUGGAGGAGUUUGGUUUCAAUUCUUUCAAGCAGUGGGUCUUUCCUUUGAGUUAAUUUUUCUGACUUGGUGGAGUGCUGCUUGCCCAUCUUCAGUCUUCACUGCUCUGUGUGAUAAAGUGGAGAGCUUGAAAAAACCACUACGUUUAUGCGUAUUCUCCUCAACUAGUACAGUUAUGCAUACUCUGAUACGGCUGGGAUGUAAGAUUCAUCAUGAUAUCAACAACUCCAUUUAUGCAUAUUCUCCUCAAGAAGUUAUAUUGUUGUUUUAAACUAGACUUGAAUCUGCAUUUGUCUUUGGACUUUACAGCAUGUUUUCGUGCUUUUUCUGCAUCAACUCAGAGAAGCAGGUGUUUAAAGACUCGAGAGAUGGGAUAGAGGUGACACUUUCCAGCUUUGAUGGAGUUGCUAUGCCGUUCAAGUGGUGGAGGGCUCCAUGCUGCUUCGAAUAUUUCGUUUGGCAGUCCAAACCAGCCAGCCAGAUAAGUGUGGUCCCUCCCUGCAGUUCCCACUGUCUUCUUAUCAAUAUGGGACAGUGGCUAAACAAUUUGGGGUGAAGGAAUUUAUGUUUGGCAAGUGGCUAGCCCUUCCAAGCAGAGGUCAGUUUUGAGGCCCCAUUAUCACUCCACUCUCAUAUGCCUGCCUUUGCAAAUGAUUUGCAUUUCAAGGGGAUGCACCGCACCUUACAUGAGAUGAAUUGACAUUGGCCUCGGCAAUCAUGAAUACAAGUGUCCUAGUUGUGCCACUAAUAUUUAUUGGAGAGGAUGUUGAUUCUCAUUUUUAAUUACAGUUGAAGCCAAGACUAGUCUCUACUGCAUUUUAGUCUGAAUAUAACCCUUAAACCAAUACAGGAUGAAAAUCUGUCUUUUGGAUCUCGUUGGUUCCAGAGAAUGUUGCUUCCUGUUCAUCCCAAAUGAAAACCUCUCCCUUGUCUUGACAGUCUUUUAGGUGCUAGUUUUUGGGUUCACCAUUAGAAGCUUACUAGCUGCUGCAGUUGUUUCUAUUUUCCUCCUUCAUGGUAUCUUUUUGUGUUCUAAUUGUGGUAAAUUGUUACUGGUUAUUAAGAUGCACUCUUCUUGUAAGACCAGUCGGGUUGAGUGCUGCUGUCCCAAUUUUGGAGGUAAUUUUUUUUGGGGAAAUGAAGAAUAAAGGAAUUUCAACAAAAGAUUUGGGAGUUUAGAAGGCUACCACAUAUGAAGGGCAUCACGUGCUGCCGGGUCCGCAUUUUGUUGUAUUAUUAACACCUUCAAAAAAUAGCAAAAAGGAUAAGGUGGCAACUCUUUCUUUGCCCCGCUCCCAGCUGUGCGUGUUGUAAAUUUGACUUUAUCUAGAUUUAGAUAAAAAUUCAUUAUAAUUUCAUCUCAUAUUAUGUUCAAAUU